AUACGUAGGGGGCGAGCGUUGUCCGGAUUUACUGGGCGUAAAGGGCGAGCAGGCGGUUAUAUGUGUCAGAUGUAAAAGGCUAUGGCUUAACCAUAGUUAGCCUUUGUAACCGUAUGACUUGAGUGCCGGAGAGGUAAGUGGAAUUCCUAGUGUAGCGGGGGAAUGGCUAGAAAUUAGGAGGAACCCCAGUGGCGAAGGCGACUUACUGGACUGUAACUGACGCUGAGUCACGAAAGCGUGGGUAGCAAACAGGAUUAGAUACCCUGGAAGUACACGCUGUAAACGAUGAGUGCUAGGUGUUGGCCAGCGAUGGUCAGUGCCGCAGUAAACACAUUAAGCACACAGCCUCGGGAGUACGGUCGCAAGACUGAAACUCAAAGGAAUUGACGGGG
rnacentral:rRNA from 1 species